UCAGCAGGACUUGGUACCAAGAAUGGAAGUGGGAGAGACCCGGAAAAAAAAAAACAUGGAAAAAUCAGCUGUUGGGGAGGAGAAGCAAGGAAUUCAAGAGGCUGUCUUCUCUCUGGAAGGACUGGGAAUCCAGGAGAUCAAUCCUAACCUACCCCCCGCCAAACUUUGUGUUUACUUCUGGGGAUGCAUCCCCAAAAAGGUAACAGUUCCAGAGCUCAUGAUCUGGUAGAAGACAUAGACAACCAAGUUUGUCAUUGCACACAGAAGGGUGCCAUGGAAGACUCUGAGGACUCAUACAGGGGCUUCAGGGCCAGAGUGUGACUGACAUACAUCAAGCAUUCAAUCUGUAUCGGUGAAGAACCCCCUAAGCAACCAGGAGAUGUUCUCAUACAGACAGUCAGGAUUCCAUAGAAAAGAGAUUUUGAGUGCAAACAGAGACGCCUUGGCACCUCAACACGACGCAUUAGAAGGAAAUGCUCCCAGGGCAUGGCGAGUCUCGCUCCUUGGAAGUUUGUAGCCUUCCUGACAUUUGCAUAUGUA